GACGUAGGGGGCGAGCGUUGUCCGGAAUCAUUGGGCGUAAAGAGCGCGUAGGCGGCGCGACAAGUCACUUGUGAAAUCUCCGGGCUUAACUCGGAACGGUCAAGUGAAACUGUCAUGCUAGAGUGCAGAAGGGGCAAUCGGAAUUCUUGGUGUAGCGGUGAAAUGCGUAGAUAUCAAGAGGAACACCUGAGGUGAAGACGGGUUGCUGGGCUGACACUGACGCUGAGGCGCGAAAGCCAGGGGAGCAAACGGG
rnacentral:rRNA from 1 species